AACUUAAGUGCAUGAACUUGGCUAACGGACUGGCGGAUAGCUGUAGCACAACUAGCAAGGACUACGUGUGUACGAGUAUCCCGUGAAGCAUCCAAUGUCUGUUUGUGUUUUUCAUCGACAUUUUUCUUUCUGAAGCGUGUAAGGAGCACAAACAAUCGUCAUCAAGGUACUAUUUUUCCGUUUGUUGCCCUCGUGGUGAAGUAGCUAUUUUGUUUGGUUUCUACGAACCCCAGCUACGUACAGGCCUGCAACUAUACUGAUCAAUGUCCAAAGAAUCUUUGAAAUCCAGGAAGGAGGGAACGUAUUUGCUGCUUAUUUAAGGCGGUGGAAUAAACUAAGACUCAGAACUGGUGAACAGUCCAAGCUGUGAAGGCUGCAAAAUGAAGAUGAAGAUUCUGUUCAUGACUCUGGUUCUUGCCUUGAUGCUGAUGAAUGGGUCAGCUUUGGUAUGUUACCGCUGUACCGCGCAACAAGAUGGCAAAUGUCAUCGUGAGUUAGAAAAGUGCAAAAUGAAUAAUUCUGCUUGUUUCAGUGGUGAACGCUUUUCCCAGAUCUAUCAAGCAUUUCUUCCUCUCAAGCAGUGCAUGACUUUGUUAAAUUGUCAGACGUUAAAGCACAGUGAGGAUAACCGGAAAGUCACAUGCUGUACAAACAACUUAUGCAAUUAAAAUGCUGAUCCACAAACAUGAGUGAUGUAAAAGAUAAGAUCCUGAUCAAGUACAUCGAUACAACAUUCUGUUUAAUCGGUCAGAGUCUGUUUGUAGUCCAACAAAAUUUGUAACUGAAGAGCAAUUCUCAAUAAAGAUGCUUAAUUACUUUCA